AGCUUAUUUGCCUUAGAACUAAGAAGCAGCUGGCCCCUCUAAAAAACAGCUUUCAGCAGGGCCUCUCCUCCUGCACUUGACUCCUAGCUAAGGGUGCUGGGCAACUUAAAUCAGCCACCACUGUGCAACUGAGACUGAAUCAAGGAUGGAUAGCCAGCAUAUAAAGUUUUAACCAUGUUUUUCUUUUCAACAUGAAACACAGAACGACAGUCAUUCAGACAACAAAACAAAAACAGACAUGAGUUGACAUGUGGACAGAUUGGUGCACCAAACACAGACAAUACAGAGAGGGUAGAAAACUUGAUGUAACCAGAACUAAGGAUGUCUACUAUAGGGACCAGAAAGCAGAAGCAGGACAUCUCUUGAUGUCCUUCUAUCCCUGGGAGAGCUUAAAAUCCACUUUCCUUCUCUCUCUCUCUCUCUCUCUCUCUCUCUCUCUCUCUCUCUCUCUCUGUCUCUCUCUAUCUCUCUCAUGUCAUUUGUAUAUCUUGCAUCUCCCUUUUGUGUGUAUUCAGUAUUUAUUUUAUUUUAUUUGUUUUAAUUUAUUUUAUUAUUUUAAGCCCUACUCCUCUUCCCUGAUGUAGCUUUUGACUGUGGCCAAAUGUCUGUUUAGACAUUUCCAGUCACAUUUUCCACUGUCAACCCCUAACUGAUAUCAGUGUUGGGACAACUCUUACUCAGUCUAGCCUAUAUCCUUUUUGCAACCUUGCAGUCAACAGCCUUCAAAAGAUAAUACUUAUAGCACUAACAUUAAUGCUGUAUGUUGCUUCCCAUGCAGGAUACCAUCGUCCAUUUUCUGUGCAGCCCCACCAAGACUGUGUCCCUCAAUCGGUCUUUCCGUAUUUAGGUCCCUUGUUGAGGCGCCAACUGCACUGACAACAGUCACAGGUUACUGGGUGCCUGAAAGGAAAACUUGUGGUUGAUUGGAAGUUCAGUGAGAGAAAUAACAAGCCAAGACAAAGUUCUCUGAUCAAGGAUCAAUCUUUAAUGUAGGGCACUGAAUAUAUAUGUGAAAACCCAAGGACCUAUCCCUUUGUUUAGGCUGGGUUCUGUUGCUUGUUUCAGUUAGAUUGAGUUGCAAAGUAGCUCUUCAGCAGCUCAGCGGGUGGGCAGUUUUCAGUUGUCUGACAGGAAGAUAUAAUUGUAGCAAAGCAAGACAUGUAGCUCCAGUGUCAGAAACUAGUUCAGCCAGCUCAAUGCUGGGGUUGGGGGAUGGCAGGGGUCAGACACUGACACUGACACAGCAGGUGUUUCAGAACUGAUGUUGAGCCAGGGUCAGCAGUAUGAACUCUCACUCUGGCUGCUAGAGAGACUACAGAAUAUUAUCUCUCUGGGACAGGAAUCAAAUAAGCCUGCUUUCAUACAUGUUCUUCUUGGCCCCAAAUAUACCCUGGCAUCAUAUAAGUGGCUUGAAUGUGUCCAUAGGCUUUCUGAAUGAGCUAUUUGUUCAAUUAGUUGAGGGUAAGACACAGGUUAAAGUGAUUAAAUCAUUUUCCUAUUAGUCAGUUUCAGAAAUGCUAGCUAGUUACAACUGGGAUGUAUGUUGGUUACAUGUAAAGUCCUUAAACUCCUUACCCACACACUUUUUCUAGUCAUUUCUUGACUACUUCAGGUUUUCAGUCAAGAGUGUUAACAUGCUUAGUGACAGGGUAGGUGCCUGAGCUGAAGUUGGGAGUGGAGGGAACUCAUUGUUGCCUUCUGCUGUAGAAGCAACUUCUAGUUCAUUUCUAGAAAAACAAUAGUCCAUAGCCAGAUGAGGUGCUACAACCCAUAAUCCCAGAGUGCAGGAGGGUGGAGCAGAAGGAUAGCCAGAGAUAGAAGACCAUUCAAAUCUCAGUGUAAGCUCCAAGCCCACCUCAGCUCACAUUAAAAAGCUGGUCAUGUCUGCUUUUAACCCCAACACUAGGUAGAUGGCAGAGACUGGAGCAUUGCUGAGACCUAGUGGAUAGGCAGCCUAUCUGAAACACACUAAUUCCGAGAUUGAGAGGGAGACCCUGUCUCAAGGGGAUGAAGUAAAAAGAGAUAGAAGGAUAUAUUGGUUUACUGUUCUGACUUCUGCAUAUACUAGCAAAGGCAUAAGCAUGUGAACAGGUGGGCAGACAACAUAAUCAACAACAACCAAAAAAACAAUGAGGGAAAGAAGAGAAGAAGGAGGAGAAAAUGGUAAGGAAAAGAAGGAGGAGGAGAAGGAGGAGAAGUAAGAGGAGGGAAGAUCGUGAUAUUCCCCUAGUAUCCACCAAACACUUGUAGACCAAGAGAGAGACAGUAGUCAUGCCUCAUUCAGUCUUAGACCACACCAACGCCUCCAUAUUUUAAAGAAACACAUGUGCAGUUUCUUUGCUAGUACCGGCCAGUCCAAAAUGUCUGAAGCUGUACAGCAGUGUUUAUUCUUCUUUCUCCUAUUAAUCAUCCCCCUUUCAUGGUAAAAACAUCCAGAUCUGUAUAGUGGCAUCAAUAAGAACAAAGGCUCCUGAGUUAGAGAGUCUUGGGUUUAAAUCUAAGUUCUCACAUUGACUGACUAUAUGACUUUAUACAGUUACUUAAUCUUUCUGAGUCUUAACUAAUACUAUGGUAAGAAAAAUAAAAUAGUACAUACCAUAUAAAGCUGAUGUAAAGUUGAAAUGAAGCGUAUUGAGUACUUGCCUCCUUCUUGAAUUCUUUAUAUUCCCACAUCAAACAUUAGUUUAUGUUUCUAGUUCCAGGGUAAAUGAAAUGUCUACUGAUACAAAAUAUGUUCCCAUUGUAAGUGUAUGUUUUUGGAAAUAUGAUUUUUGGCAUGAUUUCUACUUGGACAUCCAUCAGCAAAUAUGACUUUGAACAAUACUUGUAUUUUUCAUUAAUGGUGAGAUUAUGUCUUGUCAGUUGAAGUCCAAUGUUCUCAAAAGUAAACAGUUGAUGAAACCUGGCUACUGAUACCAGUUUGGAUUCUGAGGUCAGUGCUAUCUGUACAAAGGUUGAAGCCUUUUUGGCAGCUAUCCCCAUAGCCUUGGAAGACUUUUCUUGAUACGUUUUUUAAGUUAACAUUUACUGUUUUUAUGUGUAUGUGCCUGAAUGAGUUUAUAUGCACCACUUGUGUACAGGAGGCAACAGGGAUCAAAAGAAAGUGUAUGGUUUCCUGUUACUGAAGAUAGAGUCAGUUUUAGGAUGCCAGGUAAGUGAGGUAAUUGAACCUGUGUCCUCAGCAAAAACAAGUUUCAAAGAAUCUGAUUCCUUCUUUGACCUCCACUGCACCAGCCCUGUGCAUGGUACUCAGGUACACAUGCAAAACCAAUGCUCAUACACAUGAAAUAUGAAUGAAUCUUUUGCAAAAGUUGAGUAACUCAACUUCUUCCAUACUCACCUUAAAGAAAAUAUUCUAUACAUACUUGUCCUUCCAGUUCAUUUCCCAUCCCCUCCAAAACUGUCUUUCUGAUUCCAAGCCAGAUCCAAAGGUGCCUCUAGUUCCAGAUCACAGUUCCCUUGAACACCCACUGUUUUCUUGGGAAUAUGUUUUGAGAAAUGUAAGACUACUAAAUCAAUCCAUAGGUGAUGAUAUUGCCAAGUUUGAAAAUGGCAGGAACAAUCCUUGGCCUCUCAUCAAUAAAUGAGAAAAUAUUCCACAAAGCCUGACAGAGGUAGAGUCGACCCAUACAGGAAGAAAAAAAAAAAAACCCACUGAACCCAGAGAGUAUAUAAGGACAAGCAAAGGAGCUGGGGAGUAGAGUGUAGGCAACAUCACCAGAAAGACGUGGUCCUGACACACAGAUAAUUCUAUUUCAGACCAAAUGAAGCAGCUGCUGCUGCUGCUGCUGCUGCUGCUGCUGCUGCUGCUGCUGCUGCUGCUGCUGCUGCUGCUGCUGUGUUUGGGACUAACCCUAGUCUGUGUCCAUGCAGAAGAAGCUAGGUCUAUGUGAAGGAACUUUAAUAUAGAAAAAGUACGAUCAGUGAAUUGUAUGUAUGAUCAGAAUGUGCUUUGUGGAAAUGUUUUAGCCAAGUGGGUCCUUUGAGGGAAUGGUUAUUGUGCCACAAUGUAUUAGACAAAUGAAUGGCUCCAGACUUUGAAGUAAGACCAGCUACUCAGAUCUAACAAUGUUUGGAGACCUCUGUUCUCACUGAGAGGUAGGGACAGUAUGCUAAGCAUUGUGGCAACUGGCAUGAGAUAUACCCCUGUGUAUGCUCAGGCCCUAAUGCAUAGGCUGGAGUUCAAGUGGAAACAUGCAUGUGGUAUCCCUGCUUCUUCUUCCUUAACCAUUUGCUUAUCUACUACAGAUUAAUGGGGAAUGGUACACUAUUAUCCUGGCUUCUGACAAAAGAGAAAAGAUAGAAGAACAUGGCAGCAUGAGACUUUUUGUGGAGCACAUUCAUGUCUUGGAGAAUUCCUUAGGUUUUAAACUCCAUACUGUACCUAGAACCGGAUUUGAGGUCAGACAUCAAGGAAGAAUUUGCAAAACUAUUUGAGGAGCAUGGAAUCGUUAGAGAAAAUAGCAUUGACCUAUCUAAUGCCAAUCACUGUCUCCAGGCCCUAGAAUGAAGAUUGGCCUGAGCCUCCAGGUGGGCAAUAUCCAAUGAGAGCAAAGAGGGGGUUGGUGGUCAUAGAGAGGCCCUUCCAAAAGUAUUAGCAUUGUGCACUCAAAUUACAAUAAAAAUAGUUUGAUAAGGAAACAUUGAAGAAAGCUUGUAAAUUGGCUUUGAAUUGUCUGGAUUUGUGUCCUAGUCCUACUUUGAGCUUUGAAGUAAAGUGACUCAAGCACUUAGGCAAGAAAAGAAGGAUUUGAGUUUUGCAUGGUUGAUGUAUGCUUGUGUUAAACAGGCUCAGCAAUGGGUUCAAUAUCAUUAAAAGACAGAGUAGCCCAAUGUGGUAUAGCUGCUCUUCAGUGGUCCUCCUCCAUCCCACUCUAGAUAAUAACAUCUUAAUCUGAACUCCGUACAACCUUGGCUUCUUACCUGGGAGUGGAUAUACCUGAUCACCACUUCUCAACCAGUCUGGAGAGCAGACUCCUCUGGCCCUCCCUUCUCAUCUAGUCCAAGACUUCACUCAUAUAAUGUGUGAAGUCUUUAAUGUAGCCAAGGCUUUUAUCAUUAUUCCACAAUUUACCUAACCUACUUCA
rnacentral:lncRNA from 1 species